rnacentral:rRNA from 1 species
GACGAGUCACUACGGUGAUGAAGUAGCUCAUGCCCCGCUUCCAGGAAAAGCCUCUAAGCUCUAGAUUAUCAUUAAUCGUACCCCAAACCGACACAGGUGGUCAGGUAGAGAAUACUCAGGCGCUUGAGAGAACUCGGGUGAAGGAACUAGGCAAAAUGGUGCCGUAACUUCGGGAGAAGGCACGCUGGCAUUAGGUGAAGUGAUUUACUCAUGGAGCUGAAGCCAGUCGCAGAUACCAGCUGGCUGCAACUGUUUAUUAAAAACACAGCACUGUGCAAACACGAAAGUGGACGUAUACGGUGUGACGCCUGCCCGGUGCUGGAAGGUUAAUUGAUGGGGUUAUCCGUAAGGAGAAGCUCUUGAUCGAAGCCCCAGUAAACGGCGGCCGUAACUAUAACGGUCCUAAGGUAGCGAAAUUCCUUGUCGGGUAAGUUCCGACCUGCACGAAUGGCGUAAUGAUGGCCAGGCUGUCUCCACCCGAGACUCAGUGAAAUUGAACUCGCUGUGAAGAUGCAGUGUACCCGCGGCAAGACGGAAAGACCCCGUGAACCUUUACUAUAGCUUGACACUGAACAUUGAGCCUUGAUGUGUAGGAUAGGUGGGAGGCUUCGAAGCGUGGACGCCAGUCUGCGUGGAGCCAACCUUGAAAUACCACCCUUUAAUGUUUGAUGUUCUAACGUUGCCCCAUUAUCUGGGGUGCGGACAGUGUCUGGUGGGUAGUUUGACUGGGGCGGUCUCCUCCCAAAGAGUAACGGAGGAGCACGAAGGUUGGCUAAGCAUGGUCGGACAUCAUGCGGUUAGUGCAAAGGCAUAAGCCAGCUUGACUGCGAGAGUGACGGCUCGAGCAGGUACGAAAGUAGGUCUUAGUGAUCCGGUGGUUCUGAAUGGAAGGGCCAUCGCUCAACGGAUAAAAGGUACUCCGGGGAUAACAGGCUGAUACCGCCCAAGAGUUCAUAUCGACGGCGGUGUUUGGCACCUCGAUGUCGGCUCAUCACAUCCUGGGGCUGAAGUAGGUCCCAAGGGUACGGCUGUUCGCCGUUUAAAGUGGUACGCGAGCUGGGUUUAGAACGUCGUGAGACAGUUCGGUCCCUAUCUGCCGUGGGCGUUGGAAGAUUGAAAGGGGCUGCUCCUAGUACGAGAGGACCGGAGUGGACGCACCACUGGUGUUCGGGUUGUCAUGCCAAUGGCAUUGCCCGGUAGCUAAGUGCGGAAGAGAUAACCGCUGAAAGCAUCUAAGCGGGAAACUUGCCUUGAGAUGAGUCUUCCCUGACUCUUUAAGAGUCCUAAAGGAACGUUUAAGACUAAGACGUUGAUAGGUUGGGUGUGUAAGCGUAGCGAUACGUUGAGCUAACCAAUACUAAUGAACCGUGAGGCUUAACCUG